rnacentral:lncRNA from 1 species
CUCUUUGCUCCGAUUGUUGUGUCACAACCAAUACCGGCAGAUAAAUCCCAAGUGGAAGCUUGGUUUAAUGGCAUUAUCAAGCCGGUGAAGGAAAGGGGUACAACCUUAGACCCUGAAUUGGUUCAAGCCGAGACAGAACCUAGAAUCAUAAAGGUGAUGCAAGGUGGGGGUGGAGAAUUCGAUACCAUAACCAAAGCCAUCGAGAGCGUUCCAUCAGGGAACGCCAAACGCGUGAUCAUAUCCAUCGGACCUGGAUCUUACAAAGAGAAAAUUAGAAUUGAAAGAAAUAAGCCUUUCAUUACAUUGUUAGGAGAUCCUAAAAACAUGCCAAAUUUGACAUUUGACGGCACCGCCAAGCAAUAUGGAACCGUAGAUAGUGCCACUCUUAUUACUGAGAGUAAUUACUUUGUGGGUGCUAAUCUCAAUAUAGUGGUAAGUUAAUGUAGAGUUUAGACAACCAUGAUCUGUCCUUUAUUGAAUUGAUUAUUAAAGGGAUUUUUUUUUUAUGGUGGCAUGUUAUGCAUAUAGAACUCUGCUCCAAGGCCAGACGGUAAAAUGGUAGGAGCACAGGCGGUUGCUCUGAGAGUCUCCGGCGACAGGUCGGCUUUCUAUAACUGCAAGAUCAUUGGCUUCCAGGACACUUUGUGCGAUGACAGGGGCAACCAUUUCUUUAAGGAUUGCCAUAUUCGUGGCACUGUUGAUUUCAUUUUCGGAAGCGGGACAUCUUUAUAUCUGGUAUUCAUAUUCCCAAUGCGUGAAAUAUGAUGUAUUAUACCCCCAUAUAUACAUUUGACAAGAAAAGUGGGAUGCAGAACACGGAAAUAUUCGUGGUAGGAGAUCCAGAAGGAGAUCCGGAAAUGGCAAUAAUUACAGCACAUGCGCGAGAAAGUUCAUCGGAGGACACGGGUUAUUCGUUCGUGCAUGGCAGAAUUACAGGAACAGCGAAGGACGUAUUUUUGGGCAGGGCCUGGAAGAGCAGUCCGAGGGUUGUUUAUUCUUAUACUGAAAUGGACGAAAUCGUCCAUCCUGGUGGAUGGUCUAGUAAUCGCCAACCUGAACGAGCCGAGUAAGAUAAUACUCAGCCUUACAACGUUACAUGCCUACAAGUAAACUAAUCUUUCCCAACUUAUUGAUAAAUUUAUUAAGAUAUAUAAUGUGAGAAUGGUUUGACACGCAGCACUGUGUACUACGGAGAAUACAAAUGCACGGGGAAAGGCGCGACUCCUGCUACACGAGAGAAAUUCGUCAAACAACUAUCGGAUGCGGAAGCUAAACCAUUCUUGGUUCUUGACUACGUUGAAGGUACCAAAUGGUUGCUUCCCCCUCCGACAGUACCUAAAUAAUUCAUUCAUUCCCAACUUUUUCAUGCCGGCAACAUAUCCUCACAGUAUUGCUAAUUCAAGCAGACUCUCGUCUACCUCUUUGCUGGGUGGAAAUAACUAGCCAUCCAUUUUAUUUUAUUUAUUUUAUUUUCCCUUCCCAUGGCUUGUAUUUUAACAAAUAGCCAAAUGUCAAUAAGAAGCAGAAUUUAGUCUUAUUUUUAUUAAUAGUUAGGAUGUUGAUAUUUGCCAUUAUGUAGAAAAUUUCCAUCAUAUCAAGUUAAAAUUAUGUAAUAAUAUCCAUCAUAUAUCCAAGUUCAUUGAUUCAAUAAGUCAAGGUGAUUUCACAAACUUUUGCAUUUUAGCAAAUAAAUGGACCAUUACUGUAUAUUUGUGUAACAGCUCGUUUUCAGUAGUGUCAGAAAUAGUGGAUUUGGGACCACGAUUUUGACAAGCAGUCAGCAUUUUAAUUAAUUUUUCUUUGAUAAAAUUAUUUUAAUUAUUUAUUUAGUAUUUGCUGGGUUCAUGCCCCCCUUAAUGACUUCCUAGGGUUUAGGUUCUUCCUUUCCCAAACAGUUGAUCCGUUGAGUAGCCCUAUAAAACAGUUAACAAAUCAUACCUCCACUCGCUAAUCCCCCAUAGAGGGAUCAGUUCCUCAUGGUUUUCAUAGAUAAUAUGGAAUUGAGUUAAAGAUAGAACAUGAUAAUUGAAUUGAGGUGUAGAGUUUAAAAAAGUACCUGAUUUGUAGUAAAGAUGAAUAUGAAUUCACAAAGUUUGAUCGUCUUUACACAUCAGAUCUCUCGAGAUAAAGCAAGAACAACUUGAAAAUAAUUCUAAAAACCUAAAAGAAAGAAUAUCUGAACUGGAAUUAAAAGAAAAAAAAACUAUACUAAGUAAUUGAUGUCCGUAACAUGUGAAAAAAGAUCCUAUUUAUAGAUUUCAGGUGGCCUUCGUCGUCAAACCUAGGUUAGUUGAAGUUCUAGAGCUUUAAGUUUGAUUAUGCAAACCAAAACGCCCUCUGGCUCGUGUUAGUUUCCGUCCAGAGUCGAUGUCGCGAUACAUCAGGACCUGUGUCGCAACAAAGGAUUCUAUACACUCCUCUUGGGAUAUCUUUAGGGGUAUGUCGCAACACCCUUAUAUUGUGUCGCAACAUCGAAAGCAGUUUCGUGAUUUCUUUAUCCUGCUCCCUAAGUUGCUACAUUGAUCAUUUUGUGUUGAGACAUAGUGACCAGCAUCUGUUAAUUACUCCUUCUAAUGCUCUCCUGCACACUUACACAGUUCAUUAGCUUCCCCUUAAACCUCUUCCAGCCCCUAAGGUUAAUAAAAGGCUCAAUUUGUACAUCACAUUACAUUUAAGAAGAGUUGCAAGAACAUAAUUAAAAUCUAACGAAAAUGCUUGCUUUCAACCUCCUAAAGUGCGGAAAUUAGUUUAAUCUACUACACGGAAUUACGGUAUGUCAAGUACACGACUUCAUGCUCGAAUCCACGAUUUAUAAUGUUAUUUAUAGCCCUUUUCACAUAAUUUUGGCUUUUUUUUAAUAGCUAAAUCAAGUCAUUUUGUAAUAAUAUAUGUUUUUACAGGUUAAACAGUUAACUUAGUUUUUUUUAAUAUUUUUAUUGUAUUUGAUAGCUAAAAAAAGGUUAUGUGGUUGAUGUCGUGACCACAAAGUAUGGAAGUAAUAUAAAUAUUAACUUUGUUAAUUACCAUUUGAUUCUUUUUUAGUAAUAUAAAUACUUGCUUAAUUUAAAUCUGUUCCUAUAAUAUACUUUAAGAUGUAUUCCCUAUGUUUUAUAUAAUCACAACUUGUGUGAAAUUGCCGUAUAAAAUUUAUAUUUUUAUUUAGAAACUUAGUACGUUAUAGAUAUUUUAUGUUCGGUAUUGUGUUUCGUAGAUUCUAUCAACAAAUUUUUUCGACCUUUCACGAAUGAAAGAAAAGGAAACAUAAAACUUAAUUGGCAAUUUCCAAUUAGAAUCAAACUUUUCCUCAUUUAUAUAAACCUAAUAGAUAAUUAAUUUAGUAAUAAAUUCAAAAUAAACAAGUAAGUAUUAACGGGGCAACAAAUGAAGGCAACAACAUAAAAUAUUUCCAUUCCUUACAUUAAAUUCACCCGGUUUAGGUUUUGCACUUAGGAUUAUUGUUCAAUGAUCAUGGGUGUCUGUAGUCCAAAUUUUGUGUAUUUGGCAACAAUUAUAUUCAAUUUAUACUCAUUAAUAGCGAUCAACUGCCAAAUGCUCGGUCUGAACUGUAGCAAUGCUUGCACCAAGAACUACGCAAAUGAGUGGCAAUGCGAGGAAUCCUCCAAGGCUCAUUUGUUUUAAUAUUUUUUUUGUCACCAAUUUAUCUUAUAAAUUGGAGUCACUUAGAAUUCAAAGACAACCUCAAUAAUCAAUAAACGAAGAAAAUAAACAAAUUACUCUUUUUAUUAAAAGGAAAGAAGGAGGAGGAGGAAAUGGAUGGAAAAAGAAUCGAGGGCAAUGAAGUUUAUGCUCUAGCAAUGUGUGUAAGUAUUCUCCUCUUUGCUCCGAUUGUUGUGUCACAACCAAUACCGGCAGAUAAAUCCCAAGUGGAAGCUUGGUUUAAUGGCAUUAUCAAGCCGGUGAAGGAAAGGGGUACAACCUUAGACCCUGAAUUGGUUCAAGCCGAGACAGAACCUAGAAUCAUAAAGGUGAUGCAAGGUGGGGGUGGAGAAUUCGAUACCAUAACCAAAGCCAUCGAGAGCGUUCCAUCAGGGAACGCCAAACGCGUGAUCAUAUCCAUCGGACCUGGAUCUUACAAAGAGAAAAUUAGAAUUGAAAGAAAUAAGCCUUUCAUUACAUUGUUAGGAGAUCCUAAAAACAUGCCAAAUUUGACAUUUGACGGCACCGCCAAGCAAUAUGGAACCGUAGAUAGUGCCACUC